UUAGAUACCCCACUAUUAAAAAUUUAGAUAAAUAAUGGUAAAAUAGUAUAUAAUUAUUUAUAAAAACUGAAAUAAUUUGGCGGUAUUUUAGUUUAUUUAGGGGAAUCUGUUUAUUAAUUGAUAUUCCAGGAAUAAAUUUACUUAAUUUAUUUAAUUUUGUAUAUCGUUGUGAAAAAAAUAUUUUAAAAUAAUAAUAAUGUUGUAAUUUUGAUAUUAAAAGUAAAAUCAGAUCAAGAUGCAGAUUAUAAUUAAGAAUAUAAUGGAUUCCAAUAAAUUUAUUUAUUUGGAGGUUAUUUUUAAAAAUUAAUUGAAAUUGGAUUGAAAUGUAAUUUAAUUUAAUUA
rnacentral:rRNA from 1 species